ensembl:lncRNA
CAAUUUUGUUACGCAAACUAAUUAAGUGACAUCUAGUAAGUUGUUAAAAUAAUUUUUAAAAAGAGUUGUAAACAUAGUCCACAUAUGUCAUGGGGACUAUGUUAAUGGCACUUUCUGUUAAUUUGUAACUAAAUGGAUGUGUAAACAUCAAUGCUCGUUUUUGUCAGAUAUUAGCUCAAUGACAGGAACAAGACUAAGUUUAUUGAACCAGUGGCAGGAUUAACACAAGGCAGGUGAGCAUUGACUUGGAUGAAAAAUUGUGAAUGGAAUAAACUGUAUGAUACCUUGAAUCUUAUGUCUCUCUCUCUCUCUCUCUCUCUCUCUCUCUGUGUGUGUGUGUGUGUGUGUGUGUGUGUGUGGAUUCUGGGAAGUGUAGUUCGUGACGAGGAGUGACCGUGUUAUACAUUUACUUUGGCUGCAUGUUUUUGUUUGGCUUCUGAAGUAGAGCAAAGACUUGUGUAUUAUUAUUCCCUGAUCUAAUAACCUAUUCUUUCAUUGAUAAAAGCACUGGUUUUUAUACCUAAAUGCCAUGUGUCUUUUCAAGUAUAGAUGAAAGUGAAAGUAAUUUUCCUGGCUUAAUAUAGAGCUGCUCUCAGAAGACAAGACAUUCCCUGAAAAACUUUCAGGUAAGAGCUAUUAACUUACGUUACUAAAUUUUGGUUGCAGAAAAUAUAGUACAGCAGCUCAUGUUUUAGAGGUAACUCUAAAGUAAUUUUGUUUGCCAGCGAGACUGAGAGUGAAUGUAAAAGAAAUAGCAACCCUUUAUAUUAUGUUUCACUUAUGUAUUUAAUAUUUACUGUAUAUUAUUAUCAUAAUUCUUCCUUGUUACUGUACUGUAGUAUUGCUAUAAUUCAUUUUAAGGUUUAGAUUCUCAUAAAAUGAUUAGAAUAAGAAUGGAAUGGAAAAUGAUUAUGAGGUUUAAAAUGUACAAUAGUUUCUGUUUUUGCACAUUGAAGGAUGUCUUUCACAGACUUUCUUUCUUCAGAAAAAGCUAUAGGGACAGUAAAAAUAAAUAGACAUAUUUAUUAUUUAUCAAUGGAUAAAGAGGAUCAGUUUGAAUUUAAGGCCACAGAGAUCCCUCAAAAGCCAUGCACAGACAUGCUGAAGGAGGCCUAUCUGAACCUGCUCUCUCUGCGCCUGGAAUUCCAGCGUGAACAGAGCACUCCGGAGGAAGGAGCUUUCCAAACGAAUCUGGUUAAUAAAGA